rnacentral:tRNA from 1 species
GCCAGAUUAGCUUUAAUUGGUAGAGCAGUUGAUUUGUAAUCCUCAGGUUGUCAGUUCAAGUCUGACAUCUGGCU